rnacentral:lncRNA from 1 species
UUUUCUUGUGGCCCAUCUGAAUGCUCUCGUCUAAGAUGGUGAGCCCAACAUCCUUUGAAUUUAUUUCAGAAUUAUCCACAGUGCUAUACCAAUUAAUGCUGGUCUUUUCAGUCUCUGUCAUAGGCCCCAUGCCUUUAGAGUUUACUUUUUGAUUAUCUUCUGUAGUGCUCUUGUUUUUGUGUAACUCUUCCUCCCAUUUCCUAGCCGAGUCUUAAGGCAAAAUAUUCGCUUCUUGAUUUCUCAAUUGUUCCAGCUUUUCCUCCGUUUUAUGUCUUUCAGAGUUCUUCUUUGAGAUAACUUCUUUCUUUGGUCGUCAGGAUCAGUUUGACUACUCAGAUGAAAAAACAUCAUUGUUUUCCACCGCUUCGCUUCCUAUGUACAAACAUUGCUCCGUUGAUUUUUUCCUUAUGGCCCCAAAAAUUAAACUUUCUUUCCCCACCAUGGAAGAUUCUGCUUUGAGUGCUAGCGAGAAAGGUUGCUCGUCAUCUGCUUUAGUACGAUCUUCCCGGUGAAUUAUCGAACACUCCUUAACUCCAUGACCCAUUUUCCCACAACCAAAAUAGAAAGUUGGGAGGUUUUCGUAUUUAAAAGGUAGCCAUAUCUUCUCCUUGCCACUUGGAGAAACAAAUACUCCCUUCCUUAAUUAUUUUUGAACAUCUAGGUUUACUCUGAUUUAACAAAAUUCCCAUUUUAUCUCAGACCUUAUUACUCUCCCAAAAGUGGAUCCAAUAGCAUGAAUCAGAUCCUUCUUAUCGCAUUCAGGAGGGCACGGACCAGCUUUUAUCUAGUACGGUGAAAAAACUAAUUUUAUCUUAUUUCUCUCUAUCGGUUUCGUCAGCAUAUCAAAAGUAAUUAGUUGUUUACGAAAGAGCCAUGGCCGACCUUACAGUAUUUGUUCUAAGCCUUCUUCAUCUUCGAAUGAAAUCAUAAAUAGAUUUUGUCCAGCAAUGAGGAUCUCGAACUUCUUUUUUGUUUUCCA